AUGCGUGUUCUUUUUUUUUCUGGUUAUGCAUCUGCCUUUGAGUUGGGCCAAGUCAGAUGGACUGACCCGUUGUUUGGGUCAGUCGAAUCGGCUUUCUGGGCUUCCUCUCCUCGCGGGCGCCCGUUCUCUUGUGCGCACCCGUUAAGGGCCCCGGCCCGUGCGGUCGGAUGCCGACCGUCGGCGCUCUUCUCGUAUUAUCCUCUCGCUGCUCGUUAUCUGUCAGUCACUUGUCCCGUGGUUGCCUCAGUCGCUCUUCCGUUCUGUCUUCUCCUCUUCCUUGCCUCCGCUAGGGUUUUGCCAAUCCGGGCUCUCUUGGCAGAGGGAUUAGCUUUGCUGGAUCUCAUCCGUUGUUUCAGGUAUGGUUUGCCCUGUUUGCCGUUGUCCGGGUGCUCCGUGCUUACCAGUUGUGGAAGCUCAUGAAGUCCCAGAGGUUUUCGGUGUUGUAGUUGAUGAUGCUUGCUUCAGGAGGAUGAUCUGCUGCUGUUGGUUUGGUGGACGAAGGAGAAGGUAGUUGCCAGCAAGAAUCGUCUGGAGAAGUUGGGCAGAAACAUCAGAAGGCAACAGGAGAUCUGAGCUUUUUUUCUCCUCCCAUGGUGGCGGCUGUGUGGGUGUCGAGAAAGAAAGAAGAGGAGGCAAGGGGGAAGACCUAGUGAGCUGUACGUUAACUGGAUCUUUAGCUUAGCGGGUUCAGGCCCGUUUUCUUUGUGGGCUAAAGAGACAGCAGAAGAAAGAAACAGAGAGUACUGAGCUUUUCUUUC